GACGAACGCUGGCGGCGUGCCUAAUACAUGCAAGUAGAACGCUGAAGGAGGAGCUUGCUUCUCUGGAUGAGUUGCGAACGGGUGAGUAACGCGUAGGUAACCUGCCUGGUAGCGGGGGAUAACUAUUGGAAACGAUAGCUAAUACCGCAUAAGAGUAUAUGUUGCAUGACAUUUGCUUAAAAGGUGCAAUUGCAUCACUACUAGAUGGACCUGCGUUGUAUUAGCUAGUUGGUGGGGUAACGGCUCACCAAGGCGAAGAUACAUAGCCGACCCGAGAGGGGGCGCCGCCACACUGGGAAUGGGCAACCGCCCAGACUCCUUCGGGAGGCAGCCGUAGGGAAUCUUCGGACAUGGACGGAAGUCUGACCGCUCCACGCCGCGUGAGUGCAGAAGGUUUUCGGGUCGUAAAGCUCUGUUGUAAGAGAAGAACGAGUGUGAGAGUGGAAAGUUCACACUGUGACGGUAUCUUACCAGAAAGGGACGGCUAACUACGUG
rnacentral:rRNA from 1 species